rnacentral:rRNA from 1 species
CAUUAAAGAAAUUUAAUAAUUUUGAAAAUGGAUUUUUUUGUUUUGGCAAGAGCAUGAGAGCUUUUACUGGGCAAGAAGACAAGAGAUGGAGAGUCCAGCCGGGCCUGCGCUUAAGUGCGCGGUCUUGCUAGGCUUGUAAGUUUCUUUCUUGCUAUUCCAAACGGUGAGAGAUUUCUGUGCUUUUGUUAUAGGACAAUUAAAACCGUUUCAAUACAACACACUGUGGAGUUUUCAUAUCUUUGCAACUUUUUCUUUGGGCAUUCGAGCAAUCGGGGCCCAGAGGUAACAAACACAAACAAUUUUAUUUAUUCAUUAAAUUUUUGUCAAAAACAAGAAUUUUCGUAACUGGAAAUUUUAAAAUAUUAAAAACUUUCAACAACGGAUCUCUUGGUUCUCGCAUCGAUGAAGAACGCAGCGAAAUGCGAUACGUAAUGUGAAUUGCAGAAUUCCGUGAAUCAUCGAAUCUUUGAACGCACAUUGCGCCCCUUGGUAUUCCAGGGGGCAUGCCUGUUUGAGCGUCAUUUCCUUCUCAAACAUUCUGUUUGGUAGUGAGUGAUACUCUUUGGAGUUAACUUGAAAUUGCUGGCCUUUUCAUUGGAUGUUUUUUUUCCAAAGAGAGGUUUCUCUGCGUGCUUGAGGUAUAAUGCAAGUACGGUCGUUUUAGGUUUUACCAACUGCGGCUAAUCUUUUUUAUACUGAGCGUAUUGGAACGUUAUCGAUAAGAAGAGAGCGUCUAGGCGAACAAUGUUCUUAAAGUUUGACCUCAAAUCAGGUAGGAGUACCCGCUGAACUUAAGCAUAUCAAUAAGCGGAGGA